AGAGUUUGAUCCUGGCUCAGAACCAAUGCUGGCGGCACGCCUAACACAUGCAAGUCGAGCGCUUUCCUUCGGGAGGGAGCGGCGGACGGGUUAGUAACGCGUGGGAACAUACCCUUUUCUAUGGAAUAGCCUCGGGAAACUGAAAGUAAUACCAUAUACGGCCUUCGGGCGAAAGAUUUAUCGGGGAAGGAUUGGCCCGCGUUAGAUUAGAUAGUUGGUGGGGCAAUGGCCUACCAAGUCUACGAUCUAUACGCUGGUUUGAGAGGAUGAUCGGCAACACUGGGACUGAGGACACGGCCCAGACUCCUACGGGAGGCAGCAGUGGGGAAUCUUAGACAAUGGGCGCAAGCCUGAUCUAGCGAUGCCGCGUGAGUGACGAACGUCUUAGGAUCGUAAAGCUCUUUCGCCAGGGAUGAUAAUGACAGUACCUGGUAAAGAAACCCCGGCUAACUCCGUGCCAACAGCCGCGGUAAUACGGAGGGGGUUAGCGUUGUUCGGAAUUACUGGGCGUAAAGCGCACGUAGGCGGACUAAUAAGUUAGAGGUGAAAUCCCAGGGCUCAACCCUGGAACUGCCUUUAAUACUGUUAGUCUAGAGUUCGAGAGAGGUAAGUGGAAUUCCUAGUGUAUAGGUGAAAUUCGUAGAUAUUCAGAGGAACACCAGUGGCGAAUGCGGCUUACUGGCUCGAUACUGACGUUGAGAUGCGAAAGUGUGGGGAGCAAACAGGAUUAGAUACCUUGGUAGUGCACACAGUAAACGAUGAAUGCCAGACGUCGGGGGGCUUGCCCUUCGGUGUCACACAUAACGGAUUAAGCAUUCCGCUUGGGGAGUACGGUCGCAAGAUUAAAACUCAAAGGAAUUGACGGGGGACCGCACAAGCGGUGGAGCAUGUUGGUUUAAUUCGAAGCAACGCGCAGAACCUUACCAACCCUGGACAUCCUCUGACCGCCUGAGAGAUCAGGUUUUCCUUUACGGGACAGAGUGACAGGUGUUGCAUGGCUGUCGUCAGCUCGUGUCGUGAGAUGUUCGGUUAAGUCGGGCAACGAGCGCAACCCACAUCUUUAGUUGCCAUCAGGUUAAGCUGGGCACUCUAGAGAAACUGCCCGUGAUAAGCGGGAGGAAGGUGUGGAUGACGUCAAGUCCUCAUGGCCCUUACGGGUUGGGCUACACACGUGCUACAAUGGCACUAUACAGUGAGUUAAUCUCCAAAAGAUGUCUCAGUUCGGAUCGGGGUGUGCAACUCGACCCCAUGAAGUUGGAAUCGCUAGUAAUCGCGUAACAUCAUGACUCGGUGAAUAUGUUCCCGGGCCUUGUACACACCGCCCGUCACACCAUGGGAGUUGGUUGUACCCGACGGCCGUGCGAUAACUGUUCGGAGAGGCAGCGGACCACGGUAGGAUCAGUGACUGGGGUGAAGUCGUAACAAGGUAACC
rnacentral:rRNA from 2 species